rnacentral:rRNA from 1 species
GACGAACGCUGGCGGCGUGCUUAACACAUGCAAGUCGAACGGAAAGGCCCUGCUUUUGUGGCUUGCUCGAGUGGCGCACGUGUGAGUAACACGUGAGUAACCUGCCCUUUACUUUGGGGUAACUUCAAGACACUAUUACUAAUACCUGAUCGGAGCUCCUGCUGCAUGGUGGGGGUUGGGCCGUUUAGGCGGCUGGGGAUGGACUCGCGGCUUAUCAGCUUGUUGGUGGGGUAGUCGCUUACCAAGGCAUUGGCGGGUAGCCGGCCUGAGAGGGUGACCGGGGACAAGGGGACUGAGAGAGGGAGCAGACGGGUAUGGGAGGCAGUAGGGGGGAAUAUGGCACAAUGGGCGGAAGCGUGAUGAAGAGACGCUGGGGGCGGGAAGAAGGUCUGCGGGGGGGAAAACGCUAGCGCUUGUGAAGAAGCGGGAGUGAGGGUAAUGGGUAAAGAAGCACCGGCUAACUACGUG